GAUCCAUUAGCUUAGUUAGUAGAGUUCUUGACUUUUAAUCAAUGUAUUCCGCGUUUGAGUCGCGGAUGAAUUA
rnacentral:tRNA from 1 species